CCUUAAUAUGCAACUAUAUGUAUGGCCUUGUACUUGACUUAAUGACUGCUUGAAAUGUAAUCUUAUUUUUCUUCAGUGUCUGUGGUUUGAACAGAUGAAUAUUUUUUCUUUUUUUUUUUUUUUAACAGGAAAAUCAUUUACCUGGAUUUUUUCUUGAAUAAAAGAUAACUUAAUUGAAAUAUUAGAUUAUUGGGAAGAAAUUCAUUUUAUCUAGAAGUGAUUGACACCUGUUGGAAGCAAUAGGACUACUAAUAGGCUUGUUCAUAGCCCACAGAUGCCCUUAACAAGUCUAUUGUUCCUCUUUUGAGGGAAUCGCCACUCCACAAGUCAUUACAAUCAUUCGCCAUCUGCACGAUCAGGAACAUCUCAGUAUUUAGAACAUGCUGUGAGCUUCAGCACCAGCGCAUUGAAUUCUCGUACCCAACACCUGACUUCAGCAUUUGAAGACUGAAUGGUGAAGAGAAAACCUGAAUG
rnacentral:lncRNA from 1 species